GUAUCUUUAUCUUUAUUUUUGAUAAAAGAGGAUCCCAAAACUUAAAUCUCUCUUAAGUGGCAAUAUAUCCCCUUUACUUUCACUAAUCCCCCUCAAACGUAUAAGACUUUGACCAAGAAAACCAUUUUUAACGUUUCUUCCCCAUUUUAGUUUAGGGUUUCGUUUUUUCCAUGUCAGAGUUAUUAUACAAUCUGAAAAUUUAGGGUUCUUCUGCUUCAAUCUGAUGGUUGUCGAAGGAUAUUGGAUAUAUAUUAUUGGCGACACCAUGUUUCAUAUUCUAUGUUCACCUACCACAUCCUUUCAAGAAUGAAGGAUGGUGGUUGGCUGGUUGCUCACAAGGUGUUUGAUGUUUUGUCUCAAAGAAAUUAGUGUAUUCAAAAAUAACGGUAAUAUAUAUAUAAUAGUUAGAUAGUUUAUAUGAUUAGGCUUGGUUCUACCUUUCAAAAGAAAAAUCAGUCUUUUGCCAGCUCGGAUCUAUUGUACGGUCCAUUAUAUGUUGUAAUUUAAACUUCUUUAUCUUUAGCAUGGAUAACAUGGAUGUUUUAGGAUAACGCAGGUUAGGCAUAUCUUUAUGACAAGAAAAGUCUGAGAAAGGUCAUAUAUCCAUAAAUGAGCCGAAGCUCAUAUACAAUUGACUCAGUAGCAAUGUAUGCAAGUUUGGCAUAAGGUGUUCUUGGACCCUUACUUGAUGAGGAUUGUUGACGGUAUUGAUGCGAUAGAUGUUAGUGUGUUAAUCUUUUGUUGAAGCGGGGUGUUUCCACAGGAAGUUAAUGGCUCAUUUAAAAGGCUACUACAUUAUAUUUUCAAGGGAAUAUCACCACAACAAUCCAAAGCUUUGUAUUUCGCUCAAGACUUUUGUCAUUCUUGAUUCGUUUUUGCUCAAGGAAGUUGUACCACUAGGAUGUAAAUAAGUUUAUUUAUGAAUGUAUUUUGCAAUUUUGUUUUGAUAAGUUUUGAUUUGGUCAAUUUGAGUUAGGCGAACAUCAAAAUCUACGAGUAUAUACCUGGGUUGAUUAUAAUGUGAGUUUUGUUAUUCCGAGAACUUAGUUUUGUGGACUUUGAUGUCAAGUGUACGUGGAAUUCUUUAAUCAAGUUUAGGCUCUUUUACGAGCUUGGUAUUAUGUAAUUAAUUUAAGUGUAAUCAGAUUUACAAAUUUUAUUUAUACUUUCUUAA